GGGGACAUAGCUCAACUGGAAGAGUGCUUGCCUAGGUGCACAGUGCCCUGGGUUCAAUCCCCAGCACCA
rnacentral:tRNA from 1 species